ACGAGAAUUAUCCACUAGCCGCAGGAGGGAUGUUUCAGUUGAAAGUAAAUUCACUAUUCAAAAUGAAUACCAAAGCAAUCGUUUUGUUCGCUUGUGUUGCAUUGUUGCUACAUGGUACCAGCGCGACGCAUGGGUCAUCGAAGGAGAAAUCGGCAUCGCCAACUCCAAUGACCAUGGAUGAUAUUUACCGUCAAUUACAAUUCAACCAACUAUUAUAUGAACGACUGGAAGCGAACGCAAAGGCAAAAAAUAAAGGGGGUCCGAUUGCGGGAGGCAUCCCACAUAAGGCAUCCAACAAUAAAAAUAAGAAUAAAUAAAAUGAUGAUGUCUACCAAACUGAACUUAACGAAAAAAAAAAAAUAGUUCAAAACGCAAUUACAAAAAAAAAACAUUUUGAUGCUAAAUUUGAGAAAAAAAACUUUGAAUAAUCCGAAACAAUUUUGGAAAAUAUCAAUCUUUUGUUUAUUCAUGGGACGUCCGAAGCAAGCUUCAAAUAUAAAUAAAAGAAUUUAAAAAAAUUUAUCAUGAGUACACAAUCAUUCGAUAGAUUACCAUUGGCUAAGU